rnacentral:rRNA from 1 species
UACGUAGGGGGCAAGCGUUGUCCGGAAUCAUUGGGCGUAAAGCGCGUGUAGGCGGCCCGGUAAGUCCGCUGUGAAAGUCGGGGGCUCAACCCUCGAAUGCCGGUGGAUACUGUCGGGCUAGAGUGCGGAAGAGGCGAGUGGAAUUCCUGGUGUAGCGGUGAAAUGCGCAGAUAUCAGGAGGAACACCAAUUGCGAAGGCAGCUCGCUGGGACGUGACUGACGCUGAGACGCGAAAGCGUGGGGAGCAAACCGG